UUACAGCCAUAUCUCGUUGAAACAACACUUCUCAUACGAGCACCGAAGUUAGGCAACGUAGAGCCUGGUCAGUACCUAGAUGGGUGACCGCUUGUGAAUACCAGGUGAUGUAAG